GACGAACGCUGGCGGCGUGCUUAACACAUGCAAGUCGAACGGAAAGGCCCUGCUUUUGUGGGGUGCUCGAGUGGCGAACGGGUGAGUAACACGUGAGUAACCUGCCCUUGACUUUGGGAUAACUUCAGGAAACUGGGGCUAAUACCGGAUAUGAGCUCCUUCUGCAUGGUGGGGGUUGGAAAGUUUCGGCGGUUGGGGAUGGACUCGCGGCUUAUCAGCUUGUUGGUGGGGUAGUGGCUUACCAAGGCUUUGACGGGUAGCCGGCCUGAGAGGGUGACCGGCCACAUUGGGACUGAGAUACGGCCCAGACUCCUACGGGAGGCAGCAGUGGGGAAUAUUGCACAAUGGGCGGAAGCCUGAUGCAGCAACGCCGCGUGCGGGAUGACGGCCUUCGGGUUGUAAACCGCGUUCGCCUGUGACGAAGCGUGAGUGACGGUAAUGGGUAAAGAAGCACCGGCUAACUACGUG
rnacentral:rRNA from 1 species